ACGAACGCUGGCGGCGUGCCUAAUACAUGCAAGUUGAGCGAUGAAGAUUGGUGCUUGCACCAAUUUGAAGAGCAGCGAACGGGUGAGUAACGCGUGGGGAAUCUGCCUUUGAGCGGGGGACAACAUUUGGAAACGAAUGCUAAUACCGCAUAACAACUUUAAACAUAAGUUUUAAGUUUGAAAGAUGCAAUUGCAUCACUCAAAGAUGAUCCCGCGUUGUAUUAGCUAGUUGGUGAGGUAAAGGCUCACCAAGGCGAUGAUACAUAGCCGACCUGAGAGGGUGAUCGGCCACAUUGGGACUGAGACACGGCCCAAACUCCUACGGGAGGCAGCAGUAGGGAAUCUUCGGCAAUGGACGAAAGUCUGGCCGAGCAACGCCGCGGGAGUGAAGAAGGUUUUCGGAUCGUAAAACUCUGUUGGUAGAGAAGAACGUUGGUGAGAGUGGAAAGCUCAUCAAGUGACGGUAACUACCCAGAAAGGGACGGCUAACUACGUG
rnacentral:rRNA from 1 species